CAGUCUUUUACGGGUAGACUCACACCUUAGAGUAUUAAAGGACACUCUUAAGAACCUCUCUAAGCUUUAAGGCUACUUCGCUUAGGAACCAGUCUUUUACGGGUAGACUCACACCUAAGAGUUUUCCUGGAAACUCUAUAAAACCAAACAGAGCUUUAUGGUUGAGCUCACAAACCUUUCCUCACACUUUGGUACUAUUGAGACAACCCUCUCAACCAAAGUGGACACACACAAGAGGUGAUUAGAGGAGUGGAAUAUCAAAUCAAACAACACUUCUUACUUGUACAAAUGACCAAGAAGAUUAGAAGAAGAAGUUGGAGAGCUUUUGAAGCUUUGGAAAGCUAGGACACUUGAGCACUUGGAAGCUUGGAAGCUUGAUGGCAAAAACGUGUGGACAAGUGUGGAGUGGAAGCUCUUG
rnacentral:lncRNA from 1 species